rnacentral:rRNA from 1 species
AAAGGAAUUGACGGGGGCCCGCACAAGCGGUGGAUUAUGUGGUUUAAUUCGAAGCAACGCGCAGAACCUUACCUAGGCUUGAAAUCCAGAGAAUCCGGGGUAAUGCCUGGAGUGUCCGCAAGGAAAUUCUGAGACAGGUGCUGCAUGGCUGUCGUCAGCUCGUGUUGUGAAAUGUUGGGUUAAGUCUCGCAACGAGCGCAACCCCUAUCUUUAGUUGCCAGCAUUAAGUUGGGCACUCUAGAGAGACUGCCUGGGUUAACCAGGAGGAAGGUGGGGAUGACGUCAAGUCCUCAUGGCCCUUAUGCCUAGGGCUACACACGUAAUACAAUGGCACCCACAAAGGGAAGCAAGCAGGUGACUGUAAGCAAAUCUCAAAAAGGGUGUCUCAGUCCGGAUUGGAGUCUGCAACUCGACUCCAUGAAGUUGGAAUCGCUAGUAAUCGCGGAUCAGCACGCCGCGGUGAAUACGUUCCCGGGCCUUGUACACACCGCCCGU